rnacentral:rRNA from 1 species
UUUGACUGGGGCGGUCUCCUCCUAAAGAGUAACGGAGGAGCACGAAGGUUGGCUAAUCCUGGUCGGACAUCAGGAGGUUAGUGCAAUGGCAUAAGCCAGCUUGACUGCGAGCGUGACGGCGCGAGCAGGUGCGAAAGCAGGUCAUAGUGAUCCGGUGGUUCUGAAUGGAAGGGCCAUCGCUCAACGGAUAAAAGGUACUCCGGGGAUAACAGGCUGAUACCGCCCAAGAGUUCAUAUCGACGGCGGUGUUUGGCACCUCGAUGUCGGCUCAUCACAUCCUGGGGCUGAAGUAGGUCCCAAGGGUAUGGCUGUUCGCCAUUUAAAGUGGUACGCGAGCUGGGUUUAGAACGUCGUGAGACAGUUCGGUCCCUAUCUGCCGUGGGCGCUGGAGAACUGAGGGGGGCUGCUCCUAGUACGAGAGGACCGGAGUGGACGCAUCACUGGUGUUCGGGUUGUCAUGCCAAUGGCACUGCCCGGUAGCUAAAUGCGGAAGAGAUAAGUGCUGAAAGCAUCUAAGCACGAAACUUGCCCCGAGAUGAGUUCUCCCUGACCCUUUAAGGGUCCUGAAGGAACGUUGAAGACGACGACGUUGAUAGGCCGGGUGUGUAAGCGCAGCGAUGCGUUGAGCUAACCGGUACUAAUGAACCGUGAGGCUUAACCUUACAACGCCGAAGGUGUUU